rnacentral:rRNA from 1 species
GACGAACGCUGGCGGCGUGCCUAACACAUGCAAGUCGAACGAAGCAUAGCAAUAUGCUUAGUGGCGGACGGGUGAGUAACGCGUGAACAAUCUGCCCUGUACAAAGGAUAGCCUCGGGAAACCGGGAUUAAAACCGUAUGACACUUUAAGUAUCGCAUGAUAAGAAAGUCAAAUCGAAUAGAGGUAUGGGAUGAGUUCGCGUCUGAUUAGGCUGGGUUGGCGGGGUAACGGCCCACCAAGGCGACGAUCAGUAGCCGGCCUGAGAGGGUGAACGGCCACACUGGAACUGAGACACGGUCCAGACUCCUACGGGAGGCAGCAGUGGGGAAUAUUGCACAAUGGAGGGAACUCUGAUGCAGCGACGCCGCGUGAGUGAAGAAGGUCUUCGGGAUCGUAAAACUCUGUCCUUGGUGAAGAAAAGGACGGUAGCCAAGGAGGAAGCCCCGGCUAACUACGUG